AUUGAACGCUGGCGGCAUGCCUUACACAUGCAAGUCGAACGGCAGCGGGGGAGAAGCUUGCUUUUCCUGCCGGCGAGUGGCGAACGGGUGAGUAAUACAUCGGAGCGUGCCCUGUAGUGGGGGAUAACUAGUCGAAAGAUUAGCUAAUACCGCAUACGACCUGAGGGUGAAAGUGGGGGACCGCAAGGCCUCAUGCUAUAGGAGCGGCCGAUGUCUGAUUGGCUAGUUGGGGGGGUAAAGGCCUACCAAGGCGACGAUCAGUAGCUGGUCUGAAAGGACGGUUAGCCACACGGGGAAUGAGACACGGCCCAGACUCCUACAGGAGGCAGCAGUGGGGAAUUUUGGACAAUGGGCGAGAGCCUGAUCCAGCAAUGCCGCGUGUGUGAAGAAGGCCUUCGGGUUGUAAAGCACUUUUGUCCGGAAAGAAAUGGCUCUGGUUAAUACCUGGGGUCGAUGACGGUACCGGAAGAAUAAGGACCGGCUAACUACGUGCCAGCCGCCGCCGUAA
rnacentral:rRNA from 1 species